rnacentral:rRNA from 1 species
UACGUAGGGGGCAAGCGUUAUCCGGAUUUACUGGGUGUAAAGGGAGCGUAGACGGUUAGACAAGUCAGAUGUGAAAGCCCAGGGCUUAACCCUGGGACUGCAUUUGAAACUGUUUAACUAGAGUGCAGGAGAGGUAAGUGGAAUUCCUAGUGUAGCGGUGAAAUGCGUAGAUAUUAGGAGGAACACCAGUGGCGAAGGCGGCUUACUGGACUGUAACUGACGUUGAGGCUCGAAAGCGUGGGGAGCAAACAGG